CAAGCUUUCGGGCUGGAAAGAAAAGGUAGCUUCGGCCUCCGACCGAGGAUGAGCCCGCGGCGGAUUAGCUAGUUGGUGGGGUAAUGGCCCACCAAGGCAACGAUCCGUAGCUGGUCUGAGAGGACGAUCAGCCACACUGGGACUGAGACACGGCCCAGACUCCUACGGGAGGCAGCAGUGGGGAAUCUUGUCCAAUGGGCGAAAGCCUGAGACAGCGACGCCGCGUGCGGGAAGAAGGCCUUCGGGUUGUAAACCGCUUUCAGGAGGGACGAAGCCACUCGGGUUAAUAGCCCAGAGGGUGACGGUACCUCCAGAAGAAGCCCCGGCUAACUACGUGCCAGCAGCCGCGGUAAUACGUAGGGGGCAAGCGUUGUCCGGAUUUAUUGGGCGUAAAGAGCGUGUAGGCGGCUAGGUAGGUCCGUUGUGAAAACUCGAGGCUCAACCUCGAGACGUCGAUGGAAACCAUCUGGCUAGAGUCCGGAAGAGGAGAGUGGAAUUCCUGGUGUAGCGGUGAAAUGCGCAGAUAUCAGGAAGAACACCCGUGGCGAAGGCGGCUCUCUGGGACGUGACUGACGCUGAGACGCGAAAGCGUGGGGAGCGAACAGGAUUAGAUACCCUGGUAGUCCACGCUGUAAACGAUGGGUGCUAGGUGUGGGGGGUGUCGACUCCCUCCGUGCCGAAGCUAACGCAUUAAGCACCCCGCCUGGGGAGUACGGCCGCAAGGCUAAAACUCAAAGGAAUUGACGGAAUCGAAUU
rnacentral:rRNA from 1 species